rnacentral:rRNA from 1 species
UACGUAGGGUGCGAGCGUUAAUCGGAAUUACUGGGCGUAAAGAGUGCGCAGGCGGCUCUCUAAGACAGGUGUGAAAUCCCCGGGCUUAACCUGGGAAUGGCGCUUGUGACUGGAGAGCUAGAGUGUGGCAGAGGGGAAUGGAAUUCCUGGUGUAGCAGUGAAAUGCGUAGAUAUCAGGAGGAACACCGAUGGCGAAGGCAGUUCCCUGGGCCAACACUGACGCUCAUGCACGAAAGCGUGGGGAGCAAACAGGAUUAGAUACCCUGGUAGUCCACGCCCUAAACGAUGUCAACUAGUUGUUGGGGAAGGAGACUUCUUUAGUAACGUAGCUAACGCGUGAAGUUGACCGCCUGG